AAGUUACUCCCUCCGUUCAAUGAUUCUUGUCAAAAUAUUACAUGUAUCUAGACGCUUUUUAGAAAUAGAUACAUCCAUUUUUGGGCAAAUUUGAGACAAGAAUUAUCGAAUGGAGGGAGUAUUUU
rfam:Brachypodium distachyon strain Bd21 chromosome 1, whole genome shotgun sequence.